rnacentral:rRNA from 1 species
UACGAAGGGGGCUAGCGUUGUUCGGAAUUACUGGGCGUAAAGCGCACGUAGGCGGAUCGAUCAGUCAGGGGUGAAAUCCCAGGGCUCAACCCUGGAACUGCCUUUGAUACUGUCGAUCUGGAGUAUGGAAGAGGUGAGUGGAAUUCCGAGUAUAGAGGUGAAAUUCGUAGAUAUUCGGAGGAACACCAGUGGCGAAGGCGGCUCACUGGUCCAUUACUGACGCUGAGGUGCGAAAGCGUGGGGAGCAAACAGG